GCUCCAUGUCCCUCUAACCAUCAGGUCCUAAUGGCUCCAUGUCCCUCUAACCAUCAGGUCCUAAUGGCUCCAUGUCCCUCUAACCAUCAGGUCCUAAUGGCUCCAUGUCCCUCUAACCAUCAGGUCCUAAUGGCUCCAUGUCCCUCUAACCAUCGGGUCCUAAUGGCUCCAUGUCCCUCUAACCAUCGGGUCCUAAUGGCUCCAUGUCCC